rnacentral:rRNA from 1 species
GACGAACGCUGGCGGCGUGCUUAACACAUGCAAGUCGAACGGAAAGGCCCUGCUUUUGUGGGGUGCUCGAGUGGCGAACGGGUGAGUAACACGUGAGUAACCUGCCCUUGACUUUGGGAUAACUUCAGGAAACUGGGGCUAAUACCGGAUAGGAGUUCCUGCUGCAUGGUGGGGGUUGGAAAGUUUCGCGGUUGGGGAUGGACUCGCGGCUUAUCAGCUUGUUGGUGGGGUAGUGGCUUACCAAGGCUUUGACGGGUAGCCGGCCUGAGAGGGUGACCGGCCACAUUGGGACUGAGAUACGGCCCAGACUCCUACGGGAGGCAGCAGUGGGGAAUAUUGCACAAUGGGCGGAAGCCUGAUGCAGCAACGCCGCGUGCGGGAUGACGGCCUUCGGGUUGUAAACCGCUUUCGCCUGUGACGAAGCGUGAGUGACGGUAAUGGGUAAAGAAGCACCGGCUAACUACGUG